rnacentral:rRNA from 1 species
GAUGAACGCUGACAGAAUGCUUAACACAUGCAAGUCAACUUGAACUUCGGUUUGGGUGGCGGACGGGUGAGUAACGCGUAAAGAACUUGCCUCACAGAUAGGGACAACAUUUGGAAACGAAUGCUAAUACCUGAUAUUAUGAUUAUAUGGCAUCGUAUAAUUAUGAAAGCUAUAUGCGCUGUGAGAGAGCUUUGCGUCCCGUUAGCUAGUUGGAGAGGUAACGGCUCACCAAGGCGAUGAUGGGUAGCCGGCCUGAGAGGGUGAUCGGCCACAAGGGGACUGAGACACGGCCCUUACUCCUACGGGAGGCAGCAGUGGGGAAUAUUGGACAAUGGACCAAGAGUCUGAUCCAGCAAUUCUGUGUGCACGAUGAAGUUUUUCGGAAUGUAAAGUGCUUUCAGUUGGGAAGAAAAAAAUGACGGUACCAACAGAAGAAGUGACGGCUAAAUACGUG